GCUUGGCUCCAUGCAUACGCACACUUCGACACAUCUGAAGUGUUUGAAUUACUGAUUUUCACAGAUCUGGCAACUUGCUUCUGACGGAUCGUUUGUUGCUGUGACGCCACUCUGAACUUCAUACCGCUCUUAUCAUGACUUUGGUCACUCCUACGGAUCGAGCUAUGUGGCGGCUCCUGAUGGCAGCAGAACUCCUGGACUCUCCAGAACCCAAGACAGGUUGUUGGUGGUCGAACUGGAUCUCAACCUGAACCGACAAAUCAGUGACAAGUGGAGUUUUAAGAUGACUGGGAGGUAUGCUGAAUAUGUGGAGGAACUCGCCAAGGCUUUCAGACACGACUUCAAGCCAAAUAUAGUGAAGGAGUAAUAUUUAAAAAAAAACAAAAAAACAUGUAAGCAACAUGUAUCACAAUUAAAU